CUACGGGACGCAGCAGUGGGGGAUAUUGCACAAUGGAGGAAACUCUGAUGCAGCAACGCCGCGUGAGGGAAGAAGGUCUUCGGAUUGUAAACCUUUGUUUUUGGUGACGAAUAAAUGACGGUAGCCAAAGAGGAAGCCACGGCUAACUACGUGCCAGCAGCCGCGGUAAUACGUAGGUGGCAAGCGUUGUCCGGAUUUACUGGGUGUAAAGGGAGCGCAGGCGGGACAGCAAGUUGGAUGUGAAAUACCGGAGCUUAACUCCGGAGCUGCAUCCAAAACUGUUGUUCUUGAGUGAAGUAGAGGUUGGCGGAAUUCCGAGUGUAGCGGUGAAAUGCGUAGAUAUUCGGAGGAACACCAGUGGCGAAGGCGGCCAACUGGGCUUUAACUGACGCUGAGGCUCGAAAGCAUGGGGAGCAAACAGGAUUAGAUACCCCGGUAGUC
rnacentral:rRNA from 1 species